rnacentral:rRNA from 1 species
AACGAACGCUGGCGGCAUGCCUAACACAUGCAAGUCGAACGAGACCUUCGGGUCUAGUGGCGCACGGGUGCGUAACGCGUGGGAAUCUGCCCUUGGGUUCGGAAUAACAGUUGGAAACGACUGCUAAUACCGGAUGAUGACGUAAGUCCAAAGAUUUAUCGCCCAAGGAUGAGCCCGCGUAGGAUUAGCUAGUUGGUGAGGUAAAGGCUCACCAAGGCGACGAUCCUUAGCUGGUCUGAGAGGAUGAUCAGCCACACUGGGACUGAGACACGGCCCAGACUCCUACGGGAGGCAGCAGUGGGGAAUAUUGGACAAUGGGCGAAAGCCUGAUCCAGCAAUGCCGCGGGAGUGAUGAAGGCCUUAGGGUUGUAAAGCUCUUUUACCCGGGAUGAUAAUGACAGUACCGGGAGAAUAAGCUCCGGCUAACUCCGG